rnacentral:rRNA from 1 species
GGAUUAGAUACCCUGGUAGUCCACGCUGUAAACGAUGGAUACUAGAUGUAUGAGGAAUCGACCCCUUUUGCAUCGUAGCUAACGCAUUAAGUAUCCCGCCUGGGGAGUACGGUCGCAAGAUUAAAACUCAAAGGAAUUGACGGGGGCCCGCACAAGCGGUGGAACAUGUGGUUUAAUUCGAUGCAACGCGCAGAACCUUACCUGGGUUUGACAUCCUUUGAUGGUCUUAGAGAUAAGACGUUCCCUCGGGACAGAGAGACAGGUGCUGCAUGGCUGUCGUCAGCUCGUGUUG